CGGGGUGAGUAACGCGUGGGCAACCUGCCCCAUAGAGGGGGACAACAGCUGGAAACGGCUGCUAAUACCGCAUAACAAGGAGAGAGCGCAUGUUCUUUUCUUCAAAGAUUUAUCGCUACGGGAUGGACCCGCGUCUGAUUAGCUAGUUGGUGAGGUAACGGCUCACCAAGGCGACGAUCAGUAGCCGGCUUGAGAGAGUGAACGGCCACAUUGGGACUGAGACACGGCCCAGACUCCUACGGAAGGCAGCAG
rnacentral:rRNA from 1 species